rnacentral:rRNA from 1 species
UAACACAUGCAAGUCGAACGAACUCUUCGGAGUUAGUGGCAGACGGGUGAGUAACGCGUGGGAACCUACCUUUAGGUACGGAACAACAGUUGGAAACGACUGCUAAUACCGUAUGUGCCCUAUGGGGGAAAGAUUUAUCGCCUAAGGAUGGGCCCGCGUUGGAUUAGCUAGUUGGUGGGGUAAAGGCCUACCAAGGCGACGAUCCAUAGCUGGUCUGAGAGGAUGAUCAGCCACACUGGGACUGAGACACGGCCCAGACUCCUACGGGAGGCAGCAGUGGGGAAUAUUGGACAAUGGGCGCAAGCCUGAUCCAGCCAUGCCGCGUGAGUGAUGAAGGCCCUAGGGUUGUAAAGCUCUUUCAGCGAGGAGGAUAAUGACGUUACUCGCAGAAGAAGCCCCGGCUAACUUCGUGCCAGCAGCCGCGGUAAUAAGGGCGAAUUC